rnacentral:rRNA from 1 species
CAGUUGGGAAUCUUGGACAAUGGGCGAAAGCCUGAUCCAGCCAUGCCGCGUGAGUGAUGAAGGCCUUAGGGUUGUAAAGCUCUUUUGCCAGGGAAGAUAAUGACUGUACCUGGAGAAUAAGCCCCGGCUAACUUCGUGCCAGCAGCCGCGGUAAUACGAAGGGGGCUAGCGUUGUUCGGAAUUACUGGGCGUAAAGCGUGCGCAGGCGGUUUCUCAAGUCAGGGGUGAAAGCCCGGAGCUCAACUCCGGAAUUGCCCUUGAAACUGUGAAGCUAGAGUGCGGGAGAGGUGAGUGGAAUUCCCAGUGUAGAGGUGAAAUUCGUAGAUAUUGGGAAGAACACCGGUGGCGAAGGCGGCUCACUGGCCCGUUUCUGACGCUCAUGCACGACAGCGUGGGGAUCAAACAGGAUUAGA